CCUACGGGAGGCAGCAGUGGGGAAUAUUGGACAAUGGGGGAAACCCUGAUCCAGCGACGUCGCGUGGGUGAUGAAGGUCUUAGGAUUGUAAAACCCUUUUAUAAAAGAAGAUAAUGACUGUAUUUUAUGAAUAAGCCCCGGCUAACUUCGUGCCAGCAGCCGCGGUAAU
rnacentral:rRNA from 1 species